GCCGGAGUGGUGGAAUUGGCAGACGCGCUAGUUUCAGGGACUAGUUCUCUUCGGAGAGUGGGGGUUCAAGUCCCCCCUCCGGCACCA
rnacentral:tRNA from 1 species